rnacentral:rRNA from 1 species
AACAAACGCUGGCGGCGUGCCUAACACAUGCAAGUCGUACGAGAAAGGGUCCUUCGGGGCCUGAGUAAAGUGGCGCACGGGUGAGUAACGCGUGGAUAAUCUGCCCUUCAGUUGGGAAUAACUCAUCGAAAGGUGGGCUAAUACCGAAUAAUGCUGUGAGACCUCGGUUGAUCAGCCAAAGAGAGCCUCUGCUUGCAAGCCCUCGCUGAAGGAUGAGUCCGCGUACCAUUAGCUAGUUGGUAGGGUAAUGGCCUACCAAGGCGACGAUGGUUAGCUGGUCUGAGAGGAUGAUCAGCCACACUGGAACUGAGACACGGUCCAGACUCCUACGGGAGGCAGCAGUGAGGAACCUUGCGCAAUGGGGGCAACCCUGACGCAGCAACGCCGCGUGAGUGAGGAAGGUCUUCGGAUCGUAAAGCUCUGUCGGAUGGAAAGAACCGCAUAGGGGUAAACAGCCCCUGUGUCUGACGGUACCAUCAAAGGAAGCACCGGCUAACUCCGUGCCAGCAGCCGCAGUAACAC